UACGCUAUUAUCAAUAUUAUAGAGUUUCUAACGUUACCCGCUUUCGCUUUUAGACAUUUCAUCGACUCCGUUCAAAGCUAUCCUAUUUUUUGUAAUUUAAGAGAGAAUGAUUAUGUCUAAUCAAGCAACUGGUAUCGUAAAGUGGUUUAACGAAGAGAAAGGUUUCGGUUUCAUCACUCGUGACAACGGCGAAAAAGACGUGUUUGUACACUUCCGUGCGAUCGUUGGCGAAGGUUUCAAAACCCUAACUGAAGGCCAGCGUGUGAACUUCACCGUUGAGCAAGGCCAAAAAGGCCCACAGGCAUCUGACGUUACCGUCGCAUAAGAAGCCAGAUCUGAUUGAUAGAGGGCGCUCAGGCGCCCUUUUUUUG
rnacentral:sRNA from 1 species